GAUGAUGCAGAUGCAAAGGGAGGAGCCAAAAAAGUUAACAACUGCUGGUACGUGGGUAGUGGGGUUGUGGGUCAUCUUAGGUGGGACUAGAGGGAGAAGAGGAGAGGGGCCCAGGGCCCUGGGGGCUCAAAGAGGCUCGAAAGAAACCCCUCUGCCAUCUGGCCCAGGCCAGGAUAGGGAAAAUCCUGGGACCUUACGCUACUGGUGGAAUAAGACAUUAAAAAUGGUCUAAUACAUUGAUACAGUUCAGGAAGUUUUCUCUCUGCACCAACACAUAUACACACACACAUACAUAUAUAAACACAACACACACAAAUGCAAAUGUAAACCACACACAUGUAUACACACCCACACUCAUUGUACUGUAUAUAUAUAAGUGUGUGUAUAAAGUCCUCUUCCCACCCCACUUGGCCUCCCAAAGGUACACACCAAACUGUAAUUUUGCAGUGGUCCUUUAUGAUUAAAUAAGCAAGUACACAUGCACCUGUCUGAUUUUCCCGUUUUUACCAAUAGGAGGCAUUCUAAACAUACUGUUCUGCCUUCUUCACUCUUCACAUCACAGCAGGACUGUGGCAGUUUAUCACAGGUCGAGUCUCCCUUAUCCAAAAUGCUUGGGACCAGAAGUGUUUAGGAUUCCUUUUUUUUUUUUUUAUCUUGAAAUAUUUGCAUUAUACUAGUUGAGUAUCUGAUAUGGUUUGACUGUGUCCCCACCCAAAUCUCAUCUUGAACUGUAGCUCCCAUAAUCCCCACAUGUCAUGGGAGGGACCCGGUGGGAGGUAACUGAACCGUGGGGACAGAUUUUUCCCGUGCUAUUCUCAAGAUAGUGAGUGAGUUCUCAUGAGAUCUGAUGGUUUUAUAAAGGGCAGUUCCCCUGCACAUACUCUGUUGUCUGCCACCAUGUAAGACAUGACUUUGCUCCUUCUUUGCCUUCUGCCAUGAUUGUGAAGCCUCCCAGCCAGGUGGAACUGUGAGUCCAUUAAACCUCUUUUUCUUUAUAAAUUACUCAGUCUUGGGUAUUUCUUCAUGGCAAUAUGAAAAUGGAUUAGUACAACAUCCCAAAUCCAAAAAUCCCAAAUCUGAAAUCUGAAAUGUUCCAAUGAACAUAUCCUUUGAGCAUCAUGUGGGUGCUCAAAAAGCUUCAGAUUUUGGAGCAUUUGGAUUUCGGAUUUUCCCAGAUCUGGGAUGUGCUACCUGGACUAACAUUUGGAUCCCAGCAGUGGACCCUUCCAUGGCCCCUGCCUUGGCAGAAAUGGGGAAGGCAGCUCCCUGGGCCUCCCUAGCACUUAGGCCCAGAAGAGUCCUCCCUGCACUCCUCUUCCUGCCAGGUCUCUGGAACUCAGUGAGGCAGGGUGCAGGAGACUUGAGAUUGGCCAGCCCCACGAGCCCAGGGCAGUGGUGGACCCCAGGCUUGUGCUGCUGUAGUGCUCUUGCCAGCCCUGGGGGGCUGGGGCCCACCCAGAGGGGUCCUGGUUGGAGACCUCCACAGAGUACUCAGAACACGCAGGGCUCCCUAGGAACUCCAUGCAUUAUGGGAGGAUAAAAUAUUUAAACCUAUACAAUAUAAAAUAUUAACUUAAUUAUCAUAAAUAAUAUAUGCCCAAUGCGUCUUUACUGAAGAGGAAGAGAAAAAAAAAAAGAUGAACACUCUUAGCGUGAGCACUCAAACACUGGUGAGGAUGCGAGGUGGGGUGUUGGGAGUGAGUCUCCCCUGCAGCAGGAACUCAGCUCACAUGCUUGGAGCUAAGCGGCUGGAUGGCUGCAAGUCUAGGAAAUCGUCCAUCUCCUCCUGGGCCACCCAGCCUCCUCUUCCUGCUCCUUCAGGGAGCCGACCCUGACCUCUUCCUCCUUUACCUACCCAGGACUCUCUGGAAGUCCCUCCUUCACGUUUGACCUUGAGGAGUUUGUUUUACGUCCCCUGAGCCUCAGUCUCUGCCCCAGCAGCUGCAGAGCCCCUGGAGGGCAGGCACUGGGUCUUGCACUUCCCCUGGGCAGAGUCAGUCCAGGAAAUCUCUACUGAAUGAAAAGGUGUUCCCACCUGAGAACUAAAAAUAAAAUCCUAAGCCUCCCAAACCACUGAAUGGUCCCACCCACCUCUUGGCCAAGGGAACCCCAGAGAAAUCUUAAAAACUAAGUUCCCGCCCAUGACAGGACAGGAGGUUGGAUGCACCUCAUUAUACAUACUCCCGUUUUCAUUUAAACACUAGAAACAACUGACCAGCAUUAAUGCCAAAGCAGAGAUCAUAAGACUGACAGAACAGACUCUGUGGUGAUAAGAUACCCAAUUAUAAACAGGACCUAAGGCCGUGCAGGCAAUGGUGAAGUCAGGCACACCUACACUUAAAGAAUCAACUAAGCUCUAACUGUCACAGGGUUCUUCUUUUUCUCCAGCAGCUAAACAACACUUGCCUCAAGAUAAGCAAUAGUAAACCACUUGCAGCUCCACCAGACAGUGACUAACCGAACCCCUGUUCCACCAGCUGUAACUACAGCUUUGAUUGGACAAGAGACUGAUUUCAGUAACUUUCUCCUGAUAAGACCACUGACCGUGGACUGGUUCUGGCUGGUUUACAGAGGCUGAGCACUGAGGGCCUUCAUGUCCUUGCCUCACCUUUUAACGUACAGAACCUAACUGUAAUGCAUUUAAAUGUUAAGUCUCCAACCAAAAAUGAACAUGGAACAUAAAGUGCAUGUUUGCUUACUAUGCGUGCAUGCAUUCCCCCUUCAUGAAUAUUCAUAGCUCCUCCCAGAACCUGUUGAAUAUGUAUUCUCAGCCAACCCCUUCAGCAAAAAAGUCCUUGCUUUUGGUUUUCAACCAGUGGUUGCACUUCCCGCCUGCAGUUUGCGAUCUCCUUCUUAAGAAAUAAAGCUCUCCUUUCUAAAUUCAUCAAUUGUGUGAUUUUUCAGCUGACACACCUGGGGCCCUUCCAUCGCCAAGGUCAGCAUGAAGUGUACUUUAUGGCAAACACAUCUACAUAUAUUCCCUCAGAUCAUCCUCCCAACAACGCUGUCUUAUAAGCAGGCAGGGUAAUGAUUUUCUGAUUUUUUUUUUUUUUGCUCUGUCACCUAGGCUGGAGUGCAAUAGCAUGAUCUCAGCUCACUGCAACCUCUGCCUCCUGGGUUCAAGUGAUUCUCCUGCCUCAGGCUCCCAAGCAGCUGGGACUACAGGCGAAUGCCACCACUCUGGGCUCAUUUUUUGUAUUUUUAGUAGAGACGGGGUUUCACCAUGUUGGGUAGGCUGGUCUUGAACUCCUGACCUUGUGAUCCACCCAACUCGGCCUCCCAAAGUGCUGGGAUUACAGGCGUGAGCCACUGCACCCAGCCAAUUUUCUCAUUUUACAGAUGAGAAAAUGAAGGCUUAGAGAAGAUAGGUAGCAGGCUGAAAGACAACAUCUUUCUAAGCUCAACUCCAGUGAUCUUUGCUUACUUGUAACAUUCCCUUAUUUGCCCUUUGUGUUACCAUUUCCACCCUCAAAUCACUCUUUUUUUUUUUUUUUUUUUUUUUUUUUUUUUGAGGAAGUGUCGCUCUGUCGCCCAGGCCGGAGUGCAGUGGCACGAUCUCAGCUCAUUGCAACCUCUGCCUCCAGGUUCAAGUGAUUCUCCUGCCUCAGCCUCCUGAGUAGCUAGAGACUACAGGCACACACCACCAGACCUGGCUAAUUUUUGUAUUUUUUGGUGGAGACAGGGUUUCACCAUGUUGACUAGGCUGGUCUCGAACUCCUAACCUCAAGUGAUCUACCCAUCUUGGCCUCCCAGAGUGCUGGGAUUAUAGGUGUGAGCCACUGUGCAUGGCCUCAAGCCACUCUUAAAGAUAUUAAAUAUAUCAAUCUGAUUUUGAUUGUCCCAAUAAUGCCAGAGGGGAGGAUGGGCAGCUAUCACCAUCUAGGUUCCUACUUCUUAGGGUCUGUGUGACUAGUUAUAAAACUAUUUUCUCUUUUAAUCUUCCAUUUCCUCUGCUAUAAAACAGAGAUAAUACUACUACUGACCUCCUAGAAUUAUUGGGAGGGUUAAAUUAAACAAUGUGUGUAUAGUGCUGAGUGUUGCGGACAGCUCGGAGAAGAUGCUUGAGUCUAGCCAUCAUCAUGAAAACUCCACAACACCAACCACAUCAGGUCUUUCUCCUGUUCCUAUCUUUCUCCUGCUCCCUUCCUUAUUGAAUUUCCACAGUCUCCACCACAGAGGCAGUGCACUGGUGUGACUUGGGGGUUACCACAAGGAAAAUGGAAGAAAGUAAACGUUUACUGUGUCUCAUCACUUGUAAGUUAAAAAAUAAAAGAAAAAGAAAAGAGACAAUAGCCACAGCCAGAGUAGGAUGGCUGUUAUCAAAAUAACAGAAAAUCCCAAGUGUUGUCAAGGAUGCAGAGAAACUGGUACCCUUGUGCGCUGUUGUUGAGAGAAUGUAAAGUGGUGCAGCUGCUGUAGAAAACAGUAUGCAGUCCCUCAAAAAAGUUAAACAGAGAAUUACCAUAUAAUCCAAUCCCACUUCCGGGUAUAUACCCAAAAGAAUUUAAAGCAGGGAUUCAGGCUGGUCACGGUGGCUCACACCUGUAAUCCCAGCACUUUGGGAGGUCGAGGUGGGCAGAUUGCUUGGGGCCAGGAGUUUGAGACCAGCCUGAUCAAUAUGGUGAAACCCCCGUCUCUACUAAAAAUACAAAAAUUAGCUGGGCAUGGUGGCACGUGCCUGUAAUCCCGGCUACUCAGGAGGCUGAGGCAGAAGAAUCACUUGAAUCUAGGAGACAGAGGUUGCAAUGAGCCGAGGUUGUACCACUGCAUCCCAGCCUGGGCAACAGAGUGGGACUCUGUCUCAAAAGAAGAAAAAGAAAAGGAAAGAGAGUAAAAGAAAAGAAGAAAGCAGGGACCCAAAGAAAUAUUUGUACCCUUUAUAUGAACAUUAUAAUGUUCCUAGCAACAUUAUUCACAGUAGCCAAAAGGUAGAAGUAACUCAAGUGUUCACCGGUGGAUGAAUGGAUAGAGAAAAUGUGGUUAUUACAUACAGCAGAAUAUUUUUCAGUUAUAAAAAAUAAGGAAAUUCUGACACAUGCUACAACAUGAUAAACCUUGAAGAUGUAGUGCUAAGUGAAAUAAGCCAGCCGCUUAUUCACAAUAGCCAAGAUAAGGAAUCAACUUAAGUGGCCAUCCAUGGAUGAAUAGACAAAGAAAAUCUGAGACAGAUAAAGAUAUAGAUACAUAGAUAAAUGUUUAAUAGAGUCUUAUUCAUCCUUAAAAGAUAUUUAAAUCCUGUGAUUUGCAACAACAUGGAUGAACCUGGAGGACAUUAUGCUAAGUGAAAUAAACCAGGCACAGAAAGACAAAUACUACAUGAUCUCGCUUAUGUGUGGAAUCUAAACAACUCAAACUCAUAGAAGCAGAGAGGAGGACGGUGAGUGCCAGGGGCUGGGGAGAAGGGAAAUGGGGGGCGGGUGUUGGUCAAAGGGCACAAAGUUUCAAUUCGGCAGGAUGAAAGAGUUCUGGAGCUCUAACGCACAGCAUGGUGACUAUAGUUAAUAACAUAUUGUCUACCUGAAAUUUACUAAGAGAAUAGAUCUUAAAUAUUCUCACAGCAAGAAAAAAAUAACUAUGCGAGGGGAAGCUACACUAAUUAGCUUACUUGCGGGAAUCAUUUCACAAUGUAUACACAGUGUAUCAAAACAUCACACAGUACACCAUUAAUACAUAGUUUCCUUUUGUCAACUACACCUCAAUAAAGCUGGGAGGGGAAGCAGAGUUCAUGAAACCAGUUGUAACACAAAAGAUAUGUUAAGAAUAUUUUAUUUUUCAAUUUUUCAUCAGGGAUACCAUGUGGCUUUCAUGGGCUUCACGAGUAGGAUGGUGAUUCCACUACUGUGUACAUUUACUGCUUUAAUGCAAAUAUAAACUACAUUUCAAAUAUGUCAUUGGCCCAUUUUCCAUGAAAAAGAAACCAGUCACAAAAAGACAAAUUCCACAUGAUUCCACAUCUGUGAGGUCCCUAGAACAGCCAGAUUCAUAGAGACAGAAAGUAGAAUGAGGGUUGCCAGGGGCUGGGAAAAGGGGGCAUGAGGAGUUGUUGUUUGAUGGAGACAGAGCUUCAGUUUGGGAAGAUGCAAGAGUUCUGGCGAUGGAUAGUGGUGAUGGUUGCACAACAGCGCGAGUGUACUUAAUGCCACCAAACGAUACGUUUACAGAUAGUUAAAAUGGUAAAUUUAAUAUAUGUAUUUUACCAUAAAAAAAUUGGCCUUAACAACAGUGAACAUGCGAUUACUGAAUCUCACUACAUGAUCCCAGGAACAGGCUCAGUGGAUGACACUUCUUUCAGUUAAUCUUUACAACCUUCUGAUUAGUGUUGAAAGUCCCAGUUUUACAGAUGGGGACUCUAAACUUAGAGGAGUUACCUGCUUUGCCAAGAAAAUUCUCAAACACAGACAUGUCAGCCUCCAGCGCCUGUGUUCUCCUGAUUGCAACCCUGAAUAGCUCCACCUCUUUAGCAACCCAGAGUGAUAACAAGGGGACUGUCUGUAUCCUUCGAUCACACACCCCCCACGCUCAGUCACUGCAGCAGCCAGAAAGCCACCUGUUGAGCUGGUAACACUCAGCCCUGGGGAAGCCUAGCGCCUAGACACUAUGGGGCUGAACUUCCGUAUCUCACCGACAGGUCACCUCACACCAUCAGCAAGGGGAAUCCGGCCCUUGUUUCUCAACAUUCUUUGCCUGCAGUUCUGAAACAUCAAGCUGUUUAGGGCAGACGACUCAGGAAGGAAGUUCAGGUCUUCUCCCCAGGGGUCUCUACAAAUGAAGGGAGCCCUGGAGGCUGAGUCCCCUUCCUGGGUGACUCUGGACUCCGCAGGCCUCUGGUCUGCAGGGUUUGUGCUACCCCCUGUCCUGUGAAGCCCCAGACCUCCCGGUGGCUGAUGCCUGGCGCUGCCCCUGGCUCUGCGUGGUUCUGGGCCAGGCCUACAGCCUCUGCUCUGUCCUCUCGCUGGCCUCCCCCUCCUUACCCCUGCCCCAUGGCACUGUCCUGCCCACUCGCUCCAGCCGGCCCCGCCUGUCUGUCAAUUAAGUGGGCUUGGCUGGCUGCCCAGGUGCACAGUGGCUGAGGUGGCUGCAGGCUCUUAUCAAUGAGAUCAACAGGGUGUCUGCUGAAGACGAGUCGGAACAAGAUCCCGUGACUAUGCCCUAGGUGGUAUUCUGGAGGUCACCCUGCUGAAGUGGCUGGCCUUGGUGGCAAGAAGCUUUUCUGGGGAGGAAAGGGCUCUGGGUUCUGGGUUGCUCAGGAGCCCAUUGGAAUGGAUGCUCUGUCUGCCUUUGCACUGCAGAGCAGCUUAUUCUCGGAAAAGGCACCUGGGGUUCUAAUGGCUGCAAGGCACCCACUGGCUUAAUGAAACCUGCUCUUGGCAUCUCUGCUGCCUCUUUUAAUUCUUGUUUGGAGAGUAGCCAAAACCUCUAUCUGUUCCCCCUUUUCUCAGGACAUGACCCGGCAGGAGGGUUCAGAGCCCUUCCAGGCUGGGACUUUAUUUGAGUCUAUUUGUGAACAGGUGGAUGCCUGAUGGAACACAGCCCCUGACCCGGGGCUGGCUGCUCCCUGCGCCUCUCUGCAGGGGGCUGCGGGAAUUAGCCUCCUCCAGGGGUGGCUGUACGUGAAGACCUACCAAGAGCUGAAGACCCUACUGACACCACUAAGAGGGAUUUUUUACUGGGGAGCCCCAGAGAGAGGGAAAUGGAUCAAGGCCCUGGAGCAGGCUUGGCAGCGAGACCCAUCCUGCAAGAAGGGCUGCCAAGGCUGGCUGAGGUGCCCACCUCCCCGUGGGCUGGCAGGGGAGGCACCAGUGUUAACACUGGAAACACCUGGCUGAUAAAAACCAAAAACAUUCUCUCAAUGAUGGGUGAGAAAGAAGAAGAAAAAAAAGUUAACCAAAUCUGUUGGGCAGAAUUUUUCUAGUCUUUUCCUACUUAGCUUUAAAAGGCCUUCAAGAGUCACUAAGGGGCAAACAGCGCAUACACACAGCCAGGAGAGAAAGACUGUGUCUGCUGCAGAGAGGCUAGAAGGACAUUUCCCCCUUCUGUGCCUCAAUUUACCAUUGCAAAAUAUAGCGUCCAUUGCCUUUCCCGGGCCCCUCGUGAGGAAAUCAUAUUGCUGCAACCACAGAGAUCUCGCAUUUCCACUAGGAGCUGCUCCCUGGCCUUGAGCAACACGCUCCAGUCCUCGGGGUUUUCACUUGCAAAACAGAAACAUUUACAAAGGAAUAUCAGGAAUGGAUUCCCCUCCUACUCCCAGGGCCGGUGCUGUUGUGGCUAGCACACGGAGACACGCAGAUUCAGUGAAGCUGGCUGAGUAACAGAGACAAGCGUGCCAGAUACAGGGAGGGGCAAUGUAACUGCGACAGGAUUCAAGAAUAUGGCCAACAUCAGCUAUCGUCGAGAUCGCGGCUGAUCUCAGCAAUCGUGGCAUUCACAUUAAGUCCUGGUUGGAGCGAGUCACUUCGUCCCUCCAAGCCCCACGAUCUCCUCAUCAGUGUAAAAUAAGGGGAUGGGCCUGGAUGAUGGUCUCGGAGAUCCCUUCCAGCUCCGACAGUCUACAACUCUAUGAAGAACAAUGAGAAAAAGACAAGUUUGUUGACAGAAACAUUUUUAGGUCCCCAGCCAAAUCCAAGGGACAGAAAAGGGAGAAAAGA
rnacentral:lncRNA from 1 species